CAGCGUCUGCACCUCCUCUAGGUCACCUAGAGCAGCAGCUUCCCUGAGCCUCUCCUCCAAAUGGCUGCUCAUCCCGUUUCUCCCUUCCCCAACGCUCACUGGUGUGGCUGGCCCACAAGUGUCCCUUCCACACCCCUGCAGAGAGUGGGAACUGCUGCUGCUACUACUGCCGCCGCCGCCGCCGCCGCCGCUUUCCCACCUCGCUCUCUGGCUUGCCUGCGGGACUCUAUUCUCAGUGACACACAAGGCAGGAGCCUCUGGUUCCUACGUGGCCCUGCAGUGCUUGGCCGGUCCAAAGGUGAGCGGGAAAAAUGUUGUUCCUCUCACAGAGGAAGAAAUCUUUCGGCUUGAGCAGGGGACCUGGUCGCAGAUGAUACAUUCAGAAACCAGCAUGGAGCGCAGCGAGGCCGCGUCUCGGAUUAGUGAUGCUAAGCCCCGUUCCGUUCCCUUGGCAACACAGGAAUUCUGUGAGAUGGCAUGUCACUGAGAGCCACUGCCGGACGCAAAUGCUUUAACAACAAAAAUUACAACAGGCGUUUAAACAAUGUAUUCUUCGAGCUUCAUUUGAAGUGGCUUUCUAGGUUAUUUCUGAAGGGCUUCAGCUGUAUCUGGGGUGCUCUGCAGCUGAGGGGGAGGAGCUGGGUUCUCAGGAGUUUCCUCCGUUUCUCCUUCUGGGUCUGCUGCUUCUGGGUCUGCUGCUGUUACUCCCGAGUCAUCCUCGUCUGAUGAGUCCUCUGACGGGGCCAUGACAGUAAUGCUGUCCUAGAUGAGGUGGAGGCAGCAUGCUUCUGAAUGCCAGUUGCUGGAAACCUCAGAAGGGGAGAGUGCUGUUGCAUUCAGAUACUGCUUGCUAGCUUCCCACGGGCAUCUGGUUUGCAACUGGGAGAACAAGAUGCUAGACUGGAUGGGCCAUUCGCCUGAUCCAGCAGGAUCUUUUUAUGUUCUUAUAUUCUCUUUUUGGCUCCUCUUGCAUCCUGCCUACAAUCACAACUGUUUGAAUUCCUGUUGCUCUUGAGGCAUACAUCCUCUCACAUCACUCAAGCCAUAUCAUUUUGACUGGGGGAUGGAAGCAGAACUGUCACUUUUCUAGAUAUUUUGACUAAUUGUCUAGUCUUUUUGCUUUGCUGAAAUCAUUCCCCUUUGAUUUCUUGACCUUCUUUCCUUGGCAGCUGACUCUCAUAUACUCACUAUAAAAGGCGAUCACAUCCAGAUGGAUUUUUUCUUCUCCGGUGAUCAUGGGGACACAGGAAGCUGCCUUGAGCCAGACCAAUAGGUUCAUCUAGUUCAGUAUUGUCUCUACACCAACUGGCAGCUGCUCUCCAGGGUGUUGGAGUCUUUUUGAGCCCUAUCUGGAAAUGAUGGGGAUUGACCCUUCUGCAUGUACACGUGCAUGUGCUCUCUGUCAUUGAUCUAAGGUCCUUCCCGCCCACCUGCUAUCAGGUGAGUCACUAUAUUGUAAAAUAUACAGGUUUGACCCCUCUCCUCUAUAUACAUACACUCUGAAGGAGCACAAACCCUUUGUGGUUUGCCUUCAGCAUAGUUAAUUAUAGUUUUUUCCCCUUAGGCAGCAUGAUUUUACCACUCACAUGUCAGUGUGGGAGAGGAUUAGUGGAGUGUUUAUUUGACAUUAGGCUGCUGCCUGCCACUCCUGCUCUACUCUCCUGUGCUGUAAUCCUCUGAUUGACCCAAUAUUCUUAAAAAUUAGAACUCACUGUGCAUUUCAGAAGUAAACAUGCCACAUCACAAGAUACUUGUUUUUUCUUUUGUGUUCCUCUUCUCUCCCACCACCCCUCCCAUUGUUCUGGUCAGUAUUCAGUUAAGAUCUCAGUCUUAUCCUCUAAAGUAUUUGUUCCUUACACAGCUCUUUUUCUAAAUGUAAUUUAUCCGAACAAGCACUAAACAAACAUUGCAUUUGCCUCUAAUGUGGAAUUUGAUUUGCCAACCUCUUUCAAUUUAUGCUAAAGUCAUCAAAAGUGUUCUCUCCAGAAACCAUUAUCAGAUGGCUGCUAUAUCAUACACCAAAAUAAAGGUAAUGUUGUUGCUUGAAGGUUGGCAGCUAUUUACCCAAAACAGCUGUAGGAAGCUGCAGUGUGAGCAGAAGAUUAUAGAUGGGCAUUGUAGAAUAGUGGUUAGAGAGUGUUGGACUUAGACUGGGGUGGCCUGGGUUCAGUUCCCCAAUCAACCAUGAAGCUCACUGGAUGAUUUUGGGUCAGUUACUAUUUCUCAGCCUAACCUACUUCACAAGGUUGCUGGGAGGAUUAAGAGGUGACUAUGUACAUUGACAAGAACUCCUUGGAGGAAGGGCAAGAUAAAAAUGAUAUAGUGUGCACUAGGCAAAUUAGUGUUUAACUCUUUUUCCAUGCAGGCUGGUUUCCCAUCAGAAUCCCAAAUCCCCAGUUGCUUUUUGCCCUGAAAGGGAAAAUCUGGAUGUGUCCACAUUUGUGGGGCAAAAGCAGAGUUCAGAGGGAUUUUGACAAGAAAAAAGUGACUGCAGGCAAGAGUGAAGCCCCUUCCCCUCCUGGUGAUCUUCUGCUCCAGACUGCAGCUUACUGCAGCUGCUUUGGGUAAAACAACAAUAAAAACUCAGGGAAAACAUUGAUGUGACUGAGCAUCCAGUUUGACCCCAACUUUAAAGAAAAAGGAAAAAAGGCUGACAAUAAAGCAAACUGUUUUAAAACUGUUUUAAUCUGUUUUUACCUUUUGUACACCGCCCUGAGAGCUAGAAAGCUAUAGGGCGGUUUAGAAAUCUAAUAAAAUAAUAAAUAAAUAAAUAAACUAAGAAAAGAAAAUAA